GUUGACUGAAAUUUAAAAUCUUUUCCUAAUCCUGGGGAUGUGAUGGCAGCUUGCUUGCACUGGCAUCCAAAAGCUACAGUAUUGUCAGAAAUUGUAGCAAAGCUGAGGUAGCUUUGACUGGACUGACCUCAAAUACGAUGUGAACAGCUGUGUGGGGAGAGGGAUGAGAGGUUGUGGGGGGAGGCUGUCUAUACGCUCGUUUGAUCUUCAGUCAGCAUUAUGAGUAAGCACAGUAUUUAGAUGACUGAGAAGAUGAUAAAUCAUCAGUUAUGAAAGGAGGUGAGGAAAAUUUUCAGGGCUGUUGAAUAUUCCGGAGGUCAGGAUUCAGGAUGCUGCACUCUCCAGUGGCCCCUGCUAUGAAUAACAGAGAAAGGACAGCUACAGUCUCUGUUAUGGUGAUCUGCACUUCCCAAAUAAAUAAGAGCUUGCAGAAAUUAUUGAAAGAAAGAAAAUAAGAAGGUAAGCAAUAUAUGCUCUUUACCAUUCUGGUUUCUUUUUGUU
rnacentral:lncRNA from 1 species